ensembl:processed_transcript
UUUAUGGGACCUGCUGUUAUGUUCUCCAUCAUUGCUAGCUCCUGCUGAUGUUGUUUUCUGUAAUGCGUUCAUCUUAUACAAACCAUUACAUCUUAUUCAUUUCUCACUACCAUUACCCAUAAUUGAGCAAUCUGAUGAUUAUGUUGAAGAAAAUAAAUAUUUCAAACGUCAACACUUCUCCUGCCCUCCUGAUUCUCUGACCGGAAUCUGGUCCAUAUUUGGCCGCCUCAACCAGUGGAAAAUUUACAUGUAGUAAGGUUUACUACA